CGCGCGGGCGGUCGUUCAAGUCGCGUGUGAAAGCCCCCCGGCUCAACUGGGGGAGGGUCACGCGAUACUGAUCGACUCGAAGGCAGGAGAGGGUAGUGGAAUUCCCGGUGUAGUGGUGAAAUGCGUAGAUAUCGGGAGGAACACCAGUGGCGAAGGCGACUACCUGGCCUGUUCUUGACGCUGAGGCGCGAAAGCUAGGGGAGCAAACG
rnacentral:rRNA from 1 species